CCUACGGGGGGCAGCAGUGGGGAAUAUUGGACAAUGGGGGCAACCCAGAUCCAGCCAUGCCGCGUGUGUGAAGAAGGCCCUCGGGUUGUAAAGCACUUUCAGUGAGGAAGAACGCCUGGUGGUUAAUACCCAUCAGGAAAGACAUCACUCACAGAAGAAGCACCGGCUAACUCCGUGCCAGCAGCCGCGGUAAUACGGAGGGUGCGAGCGUUAAUCGGAAUUACUGGGCGUAAAGCGCGCGUAGGUGGCUUGAUAAGCCGGUUGUGAAAGCCCCGGGCUCAACCUGGGAACGGCAUCCGGAACUGUCAAGCUAGAGUGCAGGAGAGGAAGGUAGAAUUCCCGGUGUAGCGGUGAAAUGCGUAGAGAUCGGGAGGAAUACCAGUGGCGAAGGCGGCCUUCUGGACUGACACUGACACUGAGGUGCGAAAGCGUGGGUAGCAAACAGGAUUAGAUACCCGAGUAGUC
rnacentral:rRNA from 1 species